GAUCUUAUUUGGUCAUCCAGGCUGGACUGCAGUGGUGUGAUCAUAGCUCACUGCAGCCUCAAACUGCUGGACUCCAGUGAUCUUCCAGCCUCAGCCUCCCCCAGUAGCAAGGACUACAGGGUCCCAGAAGGAACCAACGCUGCCCACACCUUAAUUUGAGACUUCUGGCCUCUGAGAAAUGAGAAAGAGUCUCUCUCUCUGUCGCCCAGCCUGGAGUGCAGUGGCACCAUCUGAGCUCACUACAACCUCCGCCUCCCGGGUUCAAGCGAUUCUCCUG